AUUGAACGCUGGCGGCAGGCCUAACACAUGCAAGUCGGGCGGUAGAGAGAAGCUUGCUUCUCUUGAGAGCGGCGGACGGGUGAGUAAUGCCUAGGAAUCUGCCUGGUAGUGGGGGAUAACGUUCGGAAACGGACGCUAAUACCGCAUACGUCCUACGGGAGAAAGCAGGGGACCUUCGGGCCUUGCGCUAUCAGAUGAGCCUAGGUCGGAUUAGCUAGUUGGUGAGGUAAUGGCUCACCAAGGCGACGAUCCGUAACUGGUCUGAGAGGAUGAUCAGUCACACUGGAACUGAGACACGGUCCAGACUCCUACGGGAGGCAGCAGUGGGGAAUAUUGGACGAUGGGCGAAAGCCUGAUCCAGCCAUGCCGCGUGUGUGAAGAGGGUCUUCGGAUUGUAAAGCACUUUAAGUUGGGAGGAAGGGUUGUAGAUUAAUACUCUGCAAUUUUGACGUUACCGACAGAAUAAGCACCGGCUAACUCUGUGCCAGCAGCCGCGGUAAUACAGAGGGUGCAAGCGUUAAUCGGAAUUACUGGGCGUAAAGCGCGCGUAGGUGGUUUGUUAAGUUGGAUGUGAAAUCCCCGGGCUCAACCUGGGAACUGCAUUCAAAACUGACUGACUAGAGUAUGGUAGAGGGGUGGUGGAAUUUCCUGUGUGUGGGGAAAAGACUAGAAAUGGGGAGGAACCCAUCGGCGAAGACGCCCCUCUGGC
rnacentral:rRNA from 1 species